UAGGAAAACNGCNUAGAGAGUUGCUAGUAGAGAAUACGAAGGCGCAUGAGAUAACAAUCUUAAAGGAACUCGGCAAAAUGACUACCGUAACUUAGGGAUGAGGGCUCAUUUAAAUUGAUUAAUAUCAAGUAUAAAAGAAGAGACAUAAAAUAGUGUUGUACGACUGUUUAAUUAAAACAAAGCACUUUGCAAAAGAUGAUAAAUCAAUGUAUUAAGUGUGAUAUCUGCCCAAUGCCGUCAGCUUAAUUAUAGAUAUUAAUAAUAGAAAAUUGGUAUCCAUAAAAAUCCCCGGUGAAUGGCGGUCUUAUUUUGAGGAUCCUAAGGUAGCGAAAUGCCUUGGCCGUUAAAUGCGGUCA
rnacentral:rRNA from 1 species